GUCGAGCGGACAGAUGGGAGCUUGCUCCCUGAUGUUAGCGGCGGACGGGUGAGUAACACGUGGGUAACCUGCCUGUAAGACUGGGAUAACUCCGGGAAACCGGGGCUAAUACCGGAUGGUUGUUUGAACCGCAUGGUUCAAACAUAAAAGGUGGCUUCGGCUACCACUUACAGAUGGACCCGCGGCGCAUUAGCUAGUUGGUGAGGUAACGGCUCACCAAGGCAACGAUGCGUAGCCGACCUGAGAGGGUGAUCGGCCACACUGGGACUGAGACACGGCCCAGACUCCUACGGGAGGCAGCAGUAGGGAAUCUUCCGCAAUGGACGAAAGUCUGACGGAGCAACGCCGCGUGAGUGAUGAAGGUUUUCGGAUCGUAAAGCUCUGUUGUUAGGGAAGAACAAGUACCGUUCGAAUAGGGCGGUACCUUGACGGUACCUAACCAGAAAGCCACGGCUAACUACGUGCCAGCAGCCGCGGUAAUACGUAGGUGGCAAGCGUUGUCCGGAAUUAUUGGGCGUAAAGGGCUCGCAGGCGGUUUCUUAAGUCUGAUGUGAAAGCCCCCGGCUCAACCGGGGAGGGUCAUUGGAAACUGGGGAACUUGAGUGCAGAAGAGGAGAGUGGAAUUCCACGUGUAGCGGUGAAAUGCGUAGAGAUGUGGAGGAACACCAGUGGCGAAGGCGACUCUCUGGUCUGUAACUGACGCUGAGGAGCGAAAGCGUGGGGAGCGAACAGGAUUAGAUACCCUGGGUAGUCCACGCCGUAAACGAUGAGUGCUAAGUGU
rnacentral:rRNA from 1 species